CCUACGGGAGGCUGCAGUGGGGAAUAUUGGACAAUGGGCGAAAGCCUGAUCCAGCCAUGCCGCGUGUGUGAAGAAGGCCUUCGGGUUGUAAAGCACUUUCAGUGGGGAAGAAAGCCUUGGGGCUAAUACCCUCGAGGAAGGACAUCACCCACAGAAGAAGCACCGGCUAACUCCGUGCCAGCAGCCGCGGUAAUACGGAGGGUGCGAGCGUUAAUCGGAAUUACUGGGCGUAAAGCGCGCGUAGGCGGUCUGAUAAGCCGGUUGUGAAAGCCCCGGGCUCAACCUGGGAACGGCAUCCGGAACUGUCAGGCUAGAGUACAGGAGAGGAAGGUAGAAUUCCCGGUGUAGCGGUGAAAUGCGUAGAGAUCGGGAGGAAUACCAGUGGCGAAGGCGGCCUUCUGGACUGACACUGACGCUGAGGUGCGAAAGCGUGGGUAGCAAACAGGAUUAGAUACCCGGGUAGUC
rnacentral:rRNA from 1 species